ACAUUGCAGCCCGACUUGAACGGGGCUCUUUUUUAUUGUUGUCUGAGCGGAGUCGAAGACAAUAAUAAAAAAAGCGGGAGUGGAAGGCGGAAUUGUCU
rnacentral:misc_RNA from 1 species